UCUCCGGAGCCAAGCACAAGCACUCACCCUUCCUCUUCAAGGCCUCACGGCCGAUUGGCCGCCAUGACCCAACAUCAGCCUUCCGGUAUUCUCUUAUCGAUAAGGAAAAGCAAGAUCGCCCCAGAGCCCGCUGGGAAAAAGAAUGGAAGUUCAGACCAGAAUCAAGGGGAAAGACAGGUGCCAGGGCAGGUCGCCGCAGAUGCCAGCCACUGUGAGGCGCCAUAGACACUGCAUUCGGCUCCUAAGGCAUUCAGCUAUCUGACUCAACAUUGCUGCGUGCCCCUGUGAUGGACCGCCAUCCCAUCCAGAGGGACCCUCCGCCUUCUUCCUGAAGCCACCUGGGACAGGAUCCAGGCCCCUCGUGGCCUUCUGCUUCAUAAACAGAUGCAGGACAAUGGAUGGAUGGAUGAUGGAUAGCAGAUGUUUAAUCUACAGAGACCUUUUUUACUUAUUUGUAUUGAUUUUUAUUUACAGAGGCAAUUCAGGUUAAAUGCCUGAUCCGCCGGCUCAGGCCCAAGCCCAGAAGACAGUGGAGAGGCCCAAACCCGGCCAGAAUCCUGCUGGGUAUCGAUUGGUCCCUGCAAUGCUCGAAGCCCCAGCAGGGCCCACCUUACUCUCUGUACAGAACAGAUUGAUCACGAACAUUUUCCUCUUUCCUUCAAUGCCGUCUCCCCCUCGUUACAGCCUCAUUUUAAAACACUUUCAGGGUGAUUAUCACUGAGACAAUGACACCAUGUUUCAUGCACUGGACAAACAGUGCUCUUCUGAGAGUUUGGGGAAGCCCACUGUAUAAUAUCUACCUCUCUGGUUGGCUGACUGUCAGAUUGCCCCUUUUUCUGAUUGGCUGGUUGAAAUAUUGUACAUCUGUAAUUAUGGCAGAAGGUACAGUCGCAUAGGCAGCGUGAACUGGACAAGCUGGCCGGUUUAAAAUUGCUGCAAUUUGAACCCAUGUCUGAGCUGCUGGGGCUCACCAUACCUUCUGCCUCGCAGAAGAGAGGCGGAAGGUCACUAAUGCGGAUCUAUAGCUUCUUAUCGUGCUCCAGAGGCCAGCCCUCCUUGGCAGACACCAUGCCCCCCCACCCUGGCGUGGGAGAACCACCAGCUGCAAGACUGCUAUUACCAUCUCCCCCACCUCCGGGGCAGAGGAUCACUCCCAGAAAUCUGUGUUUUGCUACAUCAUUCCAGGUAAAAGUCUGUGUGUGUAAAGGGACAUGCACCAUGCUGCAUGCAUCAGCCACCAAGGGAACAGUGUGUAAGGAAAAAGAAUGUAAACUGUCAAGAAACUUUCAAGCAACACACAGAGACUCAGCGUGCAUGGAGUCACAGGCAGGAGAGACUCAGCGUGCAUGGAGUCACAGGCAGGAGAGACUCAGCGUGCAUGGAGUCACAGGCAGGAGAGACUCAGCGUGCAUGGAGUCACAAGCAGGAGUGACUCAGCGUGCAUGCAGUCACAAGCAGGAGUGACUCAGAGUGCAUACAGUCACAAGCAGGAGUGACUCAGCAUGCAUACAGUCACAAGCUGGAGAGACUCAGCGUGCAUACUGUCACAAGCAGGAGAAACUUAGCGUGCAUGCAAUCACAAACGGGAGAGACUCAAAGUGCAUACAGUCACAGUUCGGAGAGAAUCAACAUGCAUACAGUCACAGAUAUCCAUCCCACUCUCUGACAUCUAGGCUAUGGAACAAGGUGAUGAACUGAAAUUGAAGAACACACCAAACCCCGAGGAAGGCACUGAAUCCUGAGGGACACUCCAAAUUCUGAGGAAUGCAUCGAACCCCAAGGAAGGCACCAAGCCGCAAGGAACACCCAAAGCCCAAAGGAAGGCACCAAACCCUGAGGAAUGCAUCAAAAGCAAAGCUAUGCGCCAAGCACCAAGGAAGGCACUGAAUCCUGAGGAGCGCACCAAGCCCAAGGAGCACACCAACCCCGAGGAGCACACCAACCCCAGAGGAGCACACCAACCCCAAGGAGCACAUCAACCCCAGAGGAACACACAGAGGAAGGCACUGAACCUCAAGGAAAACACCGAACUCCAAGAAAGGCACAGAAUUCUAAGGAAUGCUCCAAAUCCCUAGGAACAUACACAACACCAAGGAAGGCACCGAAUCCUGAGAAAUACACCGAACCUCAAGGAAUGCACUGAACCCGGAGGAAUCCAUUCAGUCACAGAGAGACUGGUUUUAUUUCCGACUGUAAGCCCAACAUAUAACUAGAGAGAGAUUUGCCGGUGUGGCCAGGCACUGCCUGACCACAGAAGAACUGUGGCAGAAUCACAUGAUGACAAAGUGAUAAACAAGGAGAACUGAAGAGUGCGUAAUCAAAGGCGAUUCACCACAUCCCACUCGACGCGACCUCUCGGCUGCCGUGGCACUCAGCCGAACGUGAUCCUGUCACCCGUGGCGUGACAAAUUAGCCAAGUGGCUCAAUCUGUGGUAGAUGCAGGCGAGUCAUUAGACUGUGAAAAGCAGGAUGGAGGAACUGACAGAGGAAGAUGUUUCUCUAGGUAACUGGCACAUGGAUGAACAACAUGAAUCAGAAGACAUGACUUGGGCAUAUGCGUGUGAAUGCCUGUGUACGUGAGAAGCUUUCUUCCAUCUUUGGACUGAAGAGGCCCUUUGGACAGACACACAAUCCUGGACAUAUGGUGUCUACGAGGUGGCCUUAAACAGUGCUGGGAGGGGUCUCAAUGUCACCCAGGAAGCAAGAAAUGAGGUGAGGUCCCAGGCAUGGCCGGGUUCGAUUUGCACACUGGGCGCCAUUUCAUUAAUGCCCCCCCUGUGAUCACUCACCUUCAUCUCAUGCAUUAAUGCCACUUCCUUUGAGGGGGUAUGGAGGAAGGGUGGCUGCCCUGACCAAUGGUCCCACUGGGCAUGUAAUAGGAUAAGAGGAUUCCUGACACCAUUUGGGCGCCUCCUAGAGGUGGAUGACAUCAAUGACACUUAUCAGUCCUGGCAGACAGUGGUUGUAUGUACGCAUAUCACACACACCCACACGCACAGAUCACAGACACUCACUCAUAUAUCCAAACUCUCAUAAAAUAUGCACAACCAGACUAUCUAUUUAAAAUGAGCAGCAUUUCUUUCCAUUUACUUGAAUAUUUAAAGUUUCUAUUUUUUUCAGCAGUUUCACAAUACUUUGUAACCUCAAUAAAGUGCUGAGCUUCACUUCAGUGCUGGAAAGUGAGUACCCAGCCUGUGCUGGAAAGUGAGUACCCAGCCUGUGCUGGAAAGCGAGUACCCAGCCUGUGCUGGAAAGCGAGUACCCAGCCUGUGGCUGUGUUAGUCUGUAAAGGCCGAGCGGGAUUGGACCACAUCAGCAGGCGCACGUUCACCAACACCUGCCCUGCACAGGAUUGUGGGUAACCUCACAAGCUUCUGUUUACAACUAUUUAUUCCCCAGAAAAACUGUGUCAGAUAUCAGAGAUUAAAAAGCUGACAACCUCCAUGUGGUUCAGAA